rnacentral:lncRNA from 1 species
CCCCUAGGCUUAUUAUACGGUGUGUGGAAAUUGACAAGCACAAGAAGUCAUGAAAUAUAGAUGAAAAUUCUCCUUUCCUUGCCGUGUUAGUUAGUGUUAAGACCUAUUAAAUAUUCUUGUUUUUAAUUUAUUAUAUCAGUCAAUAUCAAGCAAACUUACCCGCAUAAGCAACCGACAUAUCUACUUACAUAUUAAUAAUAAUAUUGUCAACAAUUUUCUAAAAUUUCUUAAAACGACAAUGAUAUGGUACCAAAUUUUCCUCUUAGAUUUUCUUUCAUUAUAUAUUCAUAUAUCAAAAUUAUGUUGAAAAUUGUAAACUAGUCAAAUGGUUGAAUCAAAGUCUUAGUAGAGCCAUUUGAUACAAGCCUCAUUAUUGAUCCUAUAUCUAGUAACUGCACCAAUGCAUAUGUAACGGGCACUAAUAUCAUGAAUUCCAGAUCAUAUCUUACCGUGUUCCGAUUAGAUGUAACAUCCGUCUUAAAAUUCUGACACAUUUAUAUAUUUUUUUUAAAUUUAGUUCGUUAAUUCGGUACUGAAUAUCGAUUAAUUUAUAUUCAUUAAACAUAUACAGAAAUAUAUUAUUUAAACAUUAAAUGUUCAUUAUUUAUUAAUAUAAUUUAUAUUUAUUAAAAAAUAUUUAUAUUAUAAUAUAAAUAUUUGUAAGAUAAUUUUAGUUUAAUUUUUUUUUAAUUGUAAAAACAAUUUAUAUUAUAUCUAUAUUGUAUAUAUGUGUUUCAAUAAAUUAACCCUUGUUGCAACCAAUUUUGCUAAUGUGUAUGCUGUACGGUUAAUAGUUCUGGAUAUACGAGUGAAGGAGAUGAAUGGGAUUAGGUUACUGUUAUCCUUAAUAU